GAUGAACGCUGGCGGCGUGCCUAACACAUGCAAGUCGAACGAACAGACGAUCAGCUUUCGCCGCUGGCGGAGGCGGGAGACGGGGGGGUAACACGUAGAUAACCUACCUAUAAGACUGGGAUAAUGUCGGGAAGCGGGAGCUAAUACGGGAGAAUAGGUUGAACCGCAUGGGUCAGUAGGGAAUGACGGUUUUGCCGGGUGUUUGAGAUGGAUCCGGGCCGCAUUAGUUACUGGGUAAGGUAACGGCUUACCAAGGCCACGAUGGGUAGGCGAACUGAGAGGGUGAUCGGCCACACUGGCGCUGAGACACGGUCCAGCCUCCUACGGGCGGCAGCAGUCGGGAAUCUUCCGCAAUGGGCGAAAGCUUGCCGGAGCAACGCCGCGUGCGUGAUGAAGGUCUUCGGAUCGUAAAGCUCUGUUAUUCGGGAAGAAUAAAUGUGUAAGUAACUAUGCCCGUGUUGACGGUACCUAAUCAGAAAGCCCCGGCUAACUACGUG
rnacentral:rRNA from 1 species